rnacentral:rRNA from 1 species
UACGUAGGGUGCAAGCGUUAAUCGGAAUUACUGGGCGUAAAGCGUGCGCAGGCGGUUUUGUAAGUCUGUCGUGAAAUCCCCGGGCUCAACCUGGGAAUUGCGAUGGAGACUGCAAGGCUAGAAUCUGGCAGAGGGGGGUAGAAUUCCACGUGUAGCAGUGAAAUGCGUAGAGAUGUGGAGGAACUCCGAUGGCGAAGGCAGCCCCCUGGGUCAAGAUUGACGCUCAUGCACGAAAGCGUGGGGAGCAAACAGG